UUGGGAUUGAUUUUGGGGAACUGUUAAGGAAUCAGGGCCAAAAGGGGCCCAAAACAAGCAUUUUUCUAGUUUCAGGAUAAUAACUUGUGUACAAGUAUUUCAAUUGCUCUGAAAUUAUGCCGCAGUGUUUAAACCCACAAGUAGAAUGUUGGGAUUCAAUUAAGGGGUUAUGGGGCCAAAAUUUAGGAAUUAAGGGCCAAAAUAAGCAUUUUUUUAAUUUCAAGACAAUAACUUGUGAGUAAUUGUAUGGAUCUCUCUGAAAUUGUACCAUAAUGUACCAUAUAAAAAAGUGGAGGCUGGGAUUAAGUUUUGGGUUAAUUGCCCAAAAUAUGUAGGAAUAAGGGGCCAAAAAGAAGCAUGUUUCUAGUUUCCAAACAAUCAUGACAAUAACUUGUGUUUAAGUGUAUGGAUCUCUCUGAAAUUGUACUUCAGGGUUCAAUACUACAAAGGUAAGCAUGGGAUUGAGUUUAAGGGUUAUUGCUCCACGGGGGUUUCAAAAAGUUGGGAGGGAAUCUAUUGUUUACCAUUAUUUUAAGGGUUCCUUUUUUUUUCAAAAUUUUCAAAAUUCGAAUUUUGAAAAGUUUCAAGAAGAAAUCUUCAAUUGCACAGUAUUGUGCAAUAGGUUUGUUAGAUCUUUGACCACAUAAAUUUUGUUACAAAAAUCCAUAUUAUGUCAAAAAUUUGAUCACAAUCCAAAUUCAGACAGUUUUAAGCUUGAAUAUUGUGACCAAAUUUGCCCCAACUGUUCAAGGUUCGACCACUGGGGUCAUAUAAAGCUGUGCCCUACGAAGCACCUGGUUGAUGAAGUUGCAGUCCAAUCAACUUGAAACUUUGUACACAUGUUUCCUAUAAUAUGAUAUUUCUAAUUUUAAUGCCAAAUUAAAAAAAUUACCCCAAUUUCACGGUUCAUUGAACAUAGAAAAUGAAAAUGCGAGUGGGGCAUCCGUAUACUUUGGACACAUUCUUGUAUGGUUCUGUGGUUAUAGUGUUAACUUUAGUUUAUUUGUUUUGGACCUUUGUUCUAAUACUGUAUGCAAUGGGUUAACUAUAUUUCGUCUAUGAAAAUAUUUUUAAUGAUGUGCAUGUCAGUCUGG
rnacentral:lncRNA from 1 species